GAUCCUGGCUCAGGGAUGAACGCUAGCGGCAGGCCUAAUACAUGCAAGUCAAACGGUAAGUUUUCUUCGGAAGACACGAGUGGCGCACGGGUGAGUAACGCGUACGCAAUCUACCUCUAUCAGGGGGAUACACACGGGAAACUGUGGAUAAUCCCGCAUACAAUUCAGAGUUGGCAUCAGCUUUGGAUAAAAGUUACGGCGGAUAGAGAUGAGCGUGCGUCUGAUUAGCUAGUUGGUGAGGUAACGGCUCACCAAGGCGACGAUCAGUAGGGGGCGUGAGAGCGUGAUCCCCCACACGGGUACUGAGACACGGACCCGACUCCUACGGGAGGCAGCAGUAAGGAAUAUUGGUCAAUGGGCGGAAGCCUGAACCAGCCAUGCCGCGUGCGGGAAGAAGGCCCUCUGGGUUGUAAACCGCUUUUGUCAGGGAAGAAUGGAGAGGAUUCAUCCUCUUAGGGACGGUACCUGAAGAAUAAGCACCGGCUAACUCCGUG
rnacentral:rRNA from 1 species